ensembl:lncRNA
CUCACCCCUUACAAAUAAAAUCUAAUUGAUCACAUGCUGUGUAAACAAGAGGUGAGAACUUGGUUAUAUACACAGGGUACCAGGUAAUAACUAGGCUAUAUACACAGGGUACCAGGUAAUAACAUGGCUAUAUACACAGGGUACCAGUUAAUUACUUGGCUAUAUACACAGGCUACCAGGUAAUAACUUGGCUAUAUACACAGGGUACCACUACCAAGUCAAUGUGUAGUGGUAGAGGUAAUAACAUGGCUAUAUACACAGGGUACCAGUACCAAGUCAAUGUGCAGGGGUACGAGGUAAUGGUACGAGGUAAUUUACCCCUACCUAUAUGUACAUAUAGGUAGGGGUAAAGUGACUCGGCAUCAGGAUAGAUAAUAGACAGUAGCAGCAGCGUACGUGAUGAGUCAAAAGAGUUAGUGCAAAGUGGGUCAGUGCAGAUAGUCCAGGUAGCUCUCUACAGUGGAGGUCCUGGAUGGCAGGGCCCCAGUGAUGGACCGGGCCUUCCUCUGACACCGCCUGGUAUAGAGGUCCUGGAUGGCAGGAAGCUCAGCCCCAGUGAUGUACCGGGCUUUCCUCUGACACCGCCUGGUAUAGAGGUCCUGGAUGGCAGGAAGCUCAGCCCCAGUGAUGUACCGGGCCUUUCCUCUGACACCGCCUGGUAUAGAGGUCCUGGAUGGCAGGGAGCUCGGCCCCAGUGAUGUACCGGGCCGGGCCCAGUACCGUCAUUAGCGC